rnacentral:rRNA from 1 species
CCUACGGGAGGCAGCAGUGAGGAAUAUUGGUCAAUGGACGAGAGUCUGAACCAGCCACGUAGCGUGAAGGAUGACUGCCCUAUGGGUUGUAAACUUCUUUUAUAUGGGAAUAAAAUGUUCCACGUGUGGGAUUUUGUAUGUACCAUAUUAAUAAGGAUCGGCUAACUCCGUGCCAGCAGCCGCGGUAAUACGGAGGAUCCGAGCGUUAUCCGGAUUUAUUGGGUUUAAAGGGAGCGUAGGUGGAUUGUUAAGUCAGUUGUGAAAGUUUGCGGCUCAACCGUAAAAUUGCAGUUGAAACUGGCAGUCUUGAGUACAGUAGAGGUGAGCGGAAUUCGUGGUGUAGCGGUGAAAUGCGUAGAUAUCACGAAGAACUCCGAUUGCGAAGGCAGUUCACUGGACUGCAACUGACACUGAGGCUCGAAAGUGUGGGUAUCAAACAGGAUUAGAUACCCUUGUAGUC